rnacentral:rRNA from 1 species
AACGAACGCUGGCGGCAGGCCUAACACAUGCAAGUCGAACGGGAUCUUCGGAUCUAGUGGCGGACGGGUGAGUAACGCGUGGGAACGUGCCCUUUGGUUCGGAAUAGCCCUGGGAAACUGGGAGUAAUACCGGAUACGGUCGAGAGACGAAAGAUUUAUCGCCGAAGGAUCGGCCCGCGUUGGAUUAGGUAGUUGGUGGGGUAAUGGCCUACCAAGCCGACGAUCCAUAGCUGGUUUGAGAGGAUGAUCAGCCACACUGGGACUGAGACACGGCCCAGACUCCUACGGGAGGCAGCAGUGGGGAAUCUUAGACAAUGGGGGAAACCCUGAUCUAGCCAUGCCGCGUGAGCGAUGAAGGCCUUAGGGUUGUAAAGCUCUUUCGUGGGGGAAGAUAAUGACUGUACCCCAAGAAGAAGCCCCGGCUAACUCCGUGCCAGCAGCCGCCGUAAUAC